GCCAAAAACCUAGCCCACCCUCACCCUGAUACGUAAUAAUAACUUUUAAAACUAAAUAAAUCAUUCUAUCAAUUAAGUAAAGGCGAUAAAAAAAUUACUUGGAGCUAUACAAAUAGUACCGCAAGGGAAAGCUGAAAUAGAAAUGAAAUAACACUUAAGCACAAAAAAGUAGAGAUAAUACCUCGUACCUUUUGCAUCAUGGUUUAACUAGUCACAAUCAAGCAAAGAGAAUUUAAGUUUGACCACCCGAAACUAAGUGAGCUACUCCAAGGCAGCUUAAUGAGCCAACCCGUCUCUGUUGCAAAAGAGUGGGAAGACCUUCGAGUAGGGGUGACAGACCAAACGAACUUAGUGAUAGCUGGUUACCCAACAAGAGAAUUUUAGUUCUACCUAAAGCCCCGUUAAAGUUUUUUAACUAACCACUUCGCUUUAGAGUUAUUCAAAUAAGGUACAGCCUAUUUGAACCAGGAAACAACCUCAACUACUGGGUAAAUUAAUUUGCGUACACUAAAGUAGGCCUAAAAGCAGCCACCUUUAAAAUAGCGUCAAAGCUUAACUAUAUAGCUUAUUUAAUUCCGCAAUUAUACCUCAACCCUUUAUCGUUACCGGGUAAUUUUAUAUCUCUAUAAAACAUAUAAUGUUAAAACUAGUAACAAGAAGCAACCCUUCUCUUAAAUGCAAGUGUAAGUCAGAAAGGAUAAACCACUGUCAAUUAACAUAAAUGAUCUUAAAUUAGUAACCCCACAAGAAAAUCCUAAUAAAAUAGAUGUUAAACUAACACAAGAGCAUUACAAGUAAGAUUAAAAGAAAAAGAAGGAACUCGGCAAACACUAACCCCGCCUGUUUACCAAAAACAUCGCCUCUUGAGAAAAUAUAAGAGGUCUAGCCUGCCCAGUGACUUAGUUCAACGGCCGCGGUAUCCUAACCGUGCGAAGGUAGCGUAAUCACUUGUUCUUUAAAUGAGGACUAGUAUGAACGGCAUCACGAGGGUUACACUGUCUCCUUUUUCUAAUCAGUAAAACUAAUCUCCCCGUGAAGAAGCUGGGAUAUUCAUAUAAGACGAGAAGACCCUAUGGAGCUUUAAACUAAUUAACACUUGCUGCAUUUUUUUAUCUUCCAGAACACCCCCAUUAAGCAUAGCAUCAUGAUUUAAUAGUUUUAGAUUGGGGUGAUCGCGGAGUAAAAAACAACCUCCACGCCGAAAGGAUCUUUUUCCCUGAGCAGAAAGCUACAACUUUAAGCACUAAAAAAUUAACGUUUAUUGACCCAAUAGUAUUGAUCAACGAACCAAGUUACCCUAGGGAUAACAGCGCAAUCCACUUCAAGAGCUCCUAUCGACAAGUGGGUUUACGACCUCGAUGUUGGAUCAGGGUAUCCCAGUGGUGCAGCCGCUACUAACGGUUCG
rnacentral:rRNA from 1 species